rnacentral:lncRNA from 1 species
GCAGGGCCUUUCCAGCUUUUUUCUUAUGGAUCCGUGUUUCCAAAAGGACGACAUCGAAAAGCUGGGCGCACUGCUGAGGGACGGCCCGUUCGGCGUGUGGACGGUUAGCAGGGAGCGGCACAAAGUGAAGGACUUGGUGAGAUUUAAGCCCAGCCAGAGGCAGAUCUAUCUGUUCCAGCGGGGCAUCGUGUUCUGCAAGAUCCGCGGGGAGCCCGGCGACGAAGGGUCAUCGCCUCGCUACAGCUUUAAGAAGUGUCUGAAGCUGGCGACACUUUCGGUUCACCAGCUUGGAAGGGGGAGCAGUAAGAAGUUUGAAAUCUCCAGCCAAAAUGGACUUGAGAAAUAUGUCCUGCAGGCGCCAUCCAAAGAAAUCAAAGACUGUUGGUUUUCAGAAAUAAGUAGAUUGUUGGUGGAACAGCGAAACAAUGUUAAAGGUAGGUGACUUCAGUCUGAAAGGUUACCUAGUUCUGGUUUCA